CUUGCGUUGAGCGACCGUGGUAUCGACGCACCUGGCCGGUGCGAGAUAGGUGAACUCUUCGAUGGGCCAGGUCUCGACCGGCACGUCAGG
rnacentral:tRNA from 1 species